GAUCGAGACGAACCCUGAUUUGACCCCUUUCUAAUCCAUCUGAUAAUCAUCAACAAUGUCAAUGAUCAUCUCUUACCAUUCUAUUGGAACUACAACACGGACUUCAAGGAUCUUCUCCUAAGAGAUUGAAGUCUCUUGGUCAAUUUUAGCACGAAAUUGCACUGAUUUUAUAUGCCAAAAGACAAGCUUGGUGAGGAAAGUGCUUCUCCGGAUUACAAGCUACGCAAGUCUUGCAACCAGCUGUCUCGAGACAUCUAACGGUAAGUUCUUGUUGUUUUGGGUCUUAGACAUAUUCUUUUGUUAUGCUGUUUUGCAUCUUGUGACUGUGUUUGUGCAUAGCUUGCUAAUUAGGUUCUUAGACCUGUGCACUUUUUUCAAGUAUAUAAUAUUUAUAAUGAACUGACACACCAUUUUCAUCU